rnacentral:rRNA from 1 species
GACGAACGCUGGCGGCGUGCUUAACACAUGCAAGUCGAACGAAGUGGCGAACGGGUGAGUAACGCGUAAUCAACCUCCCCUUCAGGGGGGGACAACAGUUGGAAACGACUGCUAAUACCCCAUACUGAAGGAGGGGAUUGCGUCUGAUUAGCUGGUUGGAGGGGUAACGGCCGACCAAGCCGAUGAUCAGUAGCCGGGUUGGGAGGAUGAACGGCCACAUUGGGACUGAGACACGGCCCAGAAUCCUACGGGAGGCAGCAGUGGGGAAUCUUCCGCAAUGGAGGAAAGUCUGACGGAGCAACGCCGCGGGAGUGAUGACGGCCUUCGGGUUGUAAAGCUAUGUUAAUCGGGACGCGGUACCGGAAUAGAAAGCCACGGCUAACUACGUGCCAGCAGCCGCGGUAAUUC